rnacentral:lncRNA from 1 species
AGAGUACCAAGUCGAGUUGAAGUAAUGCAAAAAUAAAACUUCAUUUUUUUCCUUUUUUUUUGGUUUCAUUUUUCCUCACCUUAAUUUCUUCGGGUCGUACAACCACUUCUAAUUUUUCCAAUCAAUUUAUCUAUUUGAUUUUUUAUCUACAUUUUCUUAAGUCAACCAAACAAUUGACUAAAAAUUUUCAACCUGUCUGUUCUCCAUGCACUCUGUAGUUAGUUUUUCUUUUUCUUGUCAUAUAUAAAUUGAAUCCAGUUAUAUAUUUUUUUUUGUAGAAUCGAGACAAGAUCACUGAGUGUAGAGUAACUUUUUGCAGAAUGCCAUGAUUAAAGUUAAAGAUAACACACUCAACAUCUAUAGUUCAUUCCAACAGAAUAGGAUUGAUGAUGAUGCAGGCACAUUGCAUUUCCUUCAAUGAUUUAAUUUGUGUUAGUUGCAUAGUCCAAAAAUGACAAGUUUGUACCUCUCAUGGGCUCUAUACUUAAAGUAUAUAUUAAUAUUCAUAGACUUUCAUUUUUAAAAAUAUCAGCUAUAACCCCAUUAGGCCUUUAAAGUCUAUACUUCUCAGAAGUUGAAGCCUACCUUUUGACAAAUAGAGUGGUUUCUAAUUUUCUAUACUGCUAUAGUGUGUGUGAAUUAAAUCGCUAUUGGUUCACAAUAGUCCUGUUACUCUAUCCUAUAGUUAGAGAUCUCUAGCAGUAAAAGGAUGAGCCCACACUGUCGUUGUAGUCACCUCCGUGGCCGUUUGGCUCUACUUCGUGGGCUCCCUCAUCCUGGGAUUGGAGAAGAAGACCACCAUAGUUGUCAGUGAAGGCCUCAAUCUGUUUGCUGGUUAUCCUCUACAGUUCAUCAAGGCCAUCUUCAUGGCCUCAGGUAAUUGUGAUUUGCAUAACUUAUCAGGCAGCCUUUGAGUCUUUUUGUAAAUAGAAACAAUUUUAGGUUUAUAUCUAAAAUCACAAAAAAGGUAUCAGGUUUAACGAAAUAGAAUUUGGGGGUGCAUCAUGUAGCUUGGGUUCUCUGUUUUUAUUGUGCCAAUAUGGUGACUACGACAAGUGCAGGCGGCCCUUCUUUUGAACAAAUCUAAUUUCCAGCCUUAUUUAAAUAUACUAUAUAUUUAUCUCUCUUACACAUCUGUUUAUUCAUUAUAGGAUGUUGGGACGUAAUAUAUGUAUGGGACAAUAGACUGCUUUUUUUUUCAUAUAUAUGUUAAUUGAUGCUUUGAUUUUUAGCUAUGAAGCUGCAAUAUCUCAGGUUACCAACGGACCAUCAAUUUUGGGGGUAAAAAACUAAUGUGAGGUCCAUAUUUUGAUUUCUUCUAUAAAAUCUUACCCAUAUAUAUAGCUCUGCUUUUAUUAUAUUAAUUCAUAAAUAGUGGUAGCACAAUAUUAAUAAUCUUGUAUUCGAUGAUCAUACUUGCUAUGCUCCUCACUUAUUAAGCUAUUUACAACAUCAAUAGAAUAUAUCAGGUUUAACUAUUUUGGAAGUGCAGUUCGGAU